GGGAUAGUAGUGAAAAGCCCGCAGACACUAGAGCGAUAGCGAAAGUGACGAGGACUUGUAGCGGAUAGCCCGACGCAGC
rnacentral:misc_RNA from 1 species